rnacentral:rRNA from 1 species
AACGAACGCUGGCGGCAGGCUUAACACAUGCAAGUCGAGCGCCCCGCAAGGGGAGCGGCAGACGGGUGAGUAACGCGUGGGAAUCUACCCAUCUCUAGGGGAUAACACAGAGAAAUUUGUGCUAAUACCCUAUACGUCCUCCGGGAGAAAGAUUUAUCGGGGAUGGAUGAGCCCGCGUUGGAUUAGCUAGUUGGUGGGGUAAUGGCCUACCAAGGCGACGAUCCAUAGCUGGUCUGAGAGGAUGACCAGCCACACUGGGACUGAGACACGGCCCAGACUCCUACGGGAGGCAGCAGUGGGGAAUAUUGGACAAUGGGCGCAAGCCUGAUCCAGCCAUGCCGCGUGAGUGAUGACGGCCUUAGGGUUGUAAAGCUCUUUCACCCACGACGAUAAUGACGGUAGUGGGAGAAGAAGCCCCGGCUAACUUCGUGCCAGCCGCCGCCGUAAUAC